UACGUAGGGCGCAAGCGUUAUCCGGAAUUAUUGGGCGUAAAGAGCUCGUAGGCGGUUUGUCGCGUCUGCCGUGAAAGUCCGGGGCUCAACUCCGGAUCUGCGGUGGGUACGGGCAGACUAGAGUGAUGUAGGGGAGACUGGAAUUCCUGGUGUAGCGGUGAAAUGCGCAGAUAUCAGGAGGAACACCGAUGGCGAAGGCAGGUCUCUGGGCAUUAACUGACGCUGAGGAGCGACAGCGUGGGGAGCAAACAGG
rnacentral:rRNA from 1 species